AUUCCGAACCUGGAAGUUAAGCCUGACAGCGCCGAUGGUACUGCGACCGGUAGGUCGUGGGAGAGUAGGACGUCGCCGGAC
rnacentral:rRNA from 1 species